GAAAGAUGGAAUGGAGAAGAAAGUGAAUAUUUAGCUCAAAGACGAAUCUUUCUUUUCUACUUUCGAACGACGGUGAAUAAAAUACGAUAGAGAAUAAGAAAUACGAUUUUUCGAUGAAAAUUGGUGUACAAAAACGGAUGAUGAUCGAAUAAAAGUUGCCUCGACAAGCCUCGAUAGCGAAAAAAAUUAUCUUUGGUCAGAGAGAUCUAUCUCUUUCCUUUGCUUUUCUUCAAAAUUUUCUCGCUUCUUCUUUAACCGUUUACACACGCCGUAUCGACGCGUCGAAUCGACGAAAGAGAAAAGAAUACAUUAAAUAUAUACAUAUAUACGCGUUUAAAUAAUUUUCUUUUUUAAAUAUCGCACCAAUAUAAAAAAAUAUUAUUAAAUACGAACACGAUCGUCGAAAAUCGUUCGAGAAGAAAUAUGUAUAUCGAAUUUUCUUCUGAAACAUGCAAAACCGAGAAGAGGAGAAAGAACCGAAAGCGAUUCGCGUCAAGCGUAGCGGCUCUGUAAACGAUUAAACUCUCUCUGCGUUCUCUAAUCAUUCACAGGCAAUCCAUUGUGUUCGUAUCUGUGUGUACGUUAUGUGUAUUUGCGUGUGUUCGGUCAUUAGGCGAAAGAAAAGAAUAAUUAAUCGAAGGGGAUAAAGAGAAAAGUGCGAAGAAAGAAUAAAGUGAAA